UUCUUGGUUAUUACCCUUUCAACUUGGGCUUUUUCCAACGGUGGCCUUGCCUGGAAAAAUGGUAGGAGCCAAAUGGGUUGUGUUUCGAUCCCGGGUCCUCGAGGCCUUCCCUUCUUUGGUAGUUUGUUCAGUUUGAGCCAUGGCUUGGCUCACCGUACUCUUGCUUGCAUGGCUUCAAGACUUUCCGCCACCCAGCGUCAGCUUAGGGUCUACGCCUGCCAUUGUCAGUUCUGAUCCUCAAAUUGCUCGUGAAAUCUUGACUUCUCCUCACUUCGCAGAUCGUCCCAUCAAACAGUCCGCUAAGAGCCUUAUGUUUAGCCGAGCCAUUGGGUUCGCGCCAAAUGGGGCUUACUGGCGGCUGCUGAGAAGAAUUGCUUCAACUCAUUUGUUUGCACCCAAGCGCAUGGCAGCUCAUGAGCCUUGGCGCCAGCUAGAUUGUGCUGCUAUGAUACGUGAUAUUCAUAAUGAACAGUCCCUCAAUGGAGCUGUUCAUCUGCUUAAACACCUUCAAAAUUCUUCUCUUAAUAACAUUAUGGGGACUGUUUUCGGCAAAAGAUAUGAUUUCACAAAAUAUAACGAGGAGGC
rnacentral:misc_RNA from 1 species